AGUGAACGCUGGCGGCGUGCCUAAUACAUGCAAGUCGAACGAUGAAGUCCUAUCUUGCUCGGUUGGAUUAGUGGCGCACGGGUGAGUAAUAUAUAGUUAAUCUGCCCUACACAGAGAAACAACAGUUGGAAACGACUGCUAAUACCUCAUACUCCUAUUUGACAUAUGUUAAAUAGGGAAAGUCUUUUCGGGGUAGGAUGAGACUAUAUCGUAUCAGCUAGUUGGUAAGGUAAUGGCUUACCAAGGCUAUGACGCGUAACUGGUCUGAGAGGAUGAUCAGUCAAAUUGGAACUGAGACACGGUCCAAACUCCUACGGGGGGGAGCAGUAAGGAAUAUUGCGAAAUGGGGGAAACCCUGACGCAGCCACGCCGCGUGGAGGAUGACACUUUUCGGAGCGUAAACUCCUUUUAUCAGGAAAGAAUAAUGACGGUACCUGAUGAAUAAGCACCGGCUAACUCCGUG
rnacentral:rRNA from 1 species